rnacentral:rRNA from 1 species
AUGGGAACGCGAAGAACCUUACCUAGACUUGACAUCUCCUGAAUAGUGUAGAGAUACAUGAAGCCCUUCGGGCGAGAAGACAGGUGGUGCAUGGUUGUCGUCAGCUCGUGUCGUGAGAUGUUGGGUUAAGUCCCGCAACGAGCGCAACCCUUAUUACUAGUUGCUACCAUUAAGUUGAGCACUCUAGUGAGACUGCCCGGGGUUAACCGGGAGGAAGGCGGGGAUGGACGUCAAAUCAUCAUGCCCCUUAUGUCUAGGGCAACACACGUGCUACAAUGGUGAGUACAGAUAGAUGCGAUACCGCAAGGUGGAGCCAAACUCUAAAACUCAAUCCCAGUUCGGAUUGUAGGCUGCAACUCGCCUACAUGAAGUUGGAGUUGCUAGUAAUCGCGAAUCAGAAUGUCGCGGUGAAUACGUUCCCGGGUCUUGUACACA